rnacentral:rRNA from 1 species
UUAAGCGACUAAGCGUACACGGUGGAUGCCCUGGCAGUCAGAGGCGAUGAAGGACGUGCUAAUCUGCGAAAAGCGACGGCGAGGUGAUAUGAACCUUUGACCCGUCGAUGUCCGAAUGGGGAAACCCAGUGUGAUUCGUCACACUAUCGUUAACUGAAUACAUAGGUUAACGAGGCGAACCGGGGGAACUGAAACAUCUAAGUACCCCGAGGAAAAGAAAUCAACCGAGAUUCCCCCAGUAGCGGCGAGCGAACGGGGAGCAGCCCGGAGUCUGAAUCAGCUUGUGUGUUAGUGGAAGCGUCUGGAAAGUCGCACGGUACAGGGUGACAGUCCCGUACACGAAAAUGCACAGGUUGUGAACUCGAAGAGUAGGGCGGGACACGUGGUAUCCUGUCUGAAUAUGGGGGGACCAUCCUCCAAGGCUAAAUACUCCUGACUGACCGAUAGUGAACCAGUACCGUGAGGGAAAGGCGAAAAGAACCCCGGCGAGGGGAGUGAAAAAGAACCUGAAACCGUGUACGUACAAGCAGUGGGAGCACCUUCGUGGUGUGACUGCGUACCUUUUGUAUAAUGGGUCAGCGACUUAUAUUCUGUAGCAAGGUUAACCGUAUAGGGGAGCCGCAGGGAAACCGAGUCUUAACUGGGCGUUAAGUUGCAGGGUAUAGACCCGAAACCCGGUGAUCUAGCCAUGGGCAGGUUGAAGGUUGGGUAACACUAACUGGAGGACCGAACCGACUAAUGUUGAAAAAUUAGCGGAUGACCUGUGGCUGGGGGUGAAAGGCCAAUCAAACCGGGAGAUAGCUGGUUCUCCCCGAAAGCUAUUUAGGUAGCGCCUCGUGAACUCAUCUUCGGGGGUAGAGCACUGUUUCGGCUAGGGGGCCAUCCCGGCUUACCAACCCGAUGCAAACUACGAAUACCGAAGAAUGUUAUCACGGGAGACACACGGCGGGUGCUAACGUCCGUCGUGAAGAGGGAAACAACCCAGACCGCCAGCUAAGGUCCCAAAGUCAUGGUUAAGUGGGAAACGAUGUGGGAAGGCACAGACAGCCAGGAUGUUGGCUUAGAAGCAGCCAUCAUUUAAAGAAAGCGUAAUAGCUCACUGGUCGAGUCGGCCUGCGCGGAAGAUGUAACGGGGCUAAACCAUGCACCGAAGCUGCGGCAGCGACACUAUGUGUUGUUGGGUAGGGGAGCGUUCUGUAAGCCGUUGAAGGUGUGCUGUGAGGCAUGCUGGAGGUAUCAGAAGUGCGAAUGCUGACAUAAGUAACGAUAAAGCGGGUGAAAAGCCCGCUCGCCGGAAGACCAAGGGUUCCUGUCCAACGUUAAUCGGGGCAGGGUGAGUCGACCCCUAAGGCGAGGCCGAAAGGCGUAGUCGAUGGGAAACAGGUUAAUAUUCCUGUACUUGGUGUUACUGCGAAGGGGGGACGGAGAAGGCUAUGUCAGCCGGGCGACGGUUGUCCCGGUUUAAGCGUGUAGGUGUGUGUUCCAGGCAAAUCCGGUUCACUUUAACACUGAGGCGUGAUGACGAGGCACUACGGUGCUGAAGUGAUAAAUGCCCUGCUUCCAGGAAAAGCCUCUAAGCAUCAGGUAACACGAAAUCGUACCCCAAACCGACACAGGUGGUCAGGUAGAGAAUACCAAGGCGCUUGAGAGAACUCGGGUGAAGGAACUAGGCAAAAUGGUGCCGUAACUUCGGGAGAAGGCACGCUGAUAUGUAGGUGAAGUCCCUGCGGACGGAGCUGAAAUCAGUCGAAGAUACCAGCUGGCUGCAACUGUUUAUUAAAAACACAGCACUGUGCAAACACGAAAGUGGACGUAUACGGUGUGACGCCUGCCCGGUGCCGGAAGGUUAAUUGAUGGGGUUAGCGGCAACGCGAAGCUCUUGAUCGAAGCCCCGGUAAACGGCGGCCGUAACUAUAACGGUCCUAAGGUAGCGAAAUUCCUUGUCGGGUAAGUUCCGACCUGCACGAAUGGCGUAAUGAUGGCCAGGCUGUCUCCACCCGAGACUCAGUGAAAUUGAACUCGCUGUGAAGAUGCAGUGUACCCGCGGCAAGACGGAAAGACCCCGUGAACCUUUACUAUAGCUUGACACUGAACACUGGUCCUUGAUGUGUAGGAUAGGUGGGAGGCUUUGAAGCGUGGACGCCAGUCUGCGUGGAGCCGUCCUUGAAAUACCACCCUUUAAUGGCUGGUGUUCUAACGUGGACCCGUAAUCCGGGUUGCGGACAGUGUCUGGUGGGUAGUUUGACUGGGGCGGUCUCCUCCCAAAGAGUAACGGAGGAGCACGAAGGUUAGCUAAUCCUGGUCGGACAUCAGGAGGUUAGUGCAAUGGCAUAAGCUAGCUUGACUGCGAGAGUGACGGCUCGAGCAGGUGCGAAAGCAGGUCAUAGUGAUCCGGUGGUUCUGAAUGGAAGGGCCAUCGCUCAACGGAUAAAAGGUACUCCGGGGAUAACAGGCUGAUACCGCCCAAGAGUUCAUAUCGACGGCGGUGUUUGGCACCUCGAUGUCGGCUCAUCACAUCCUGGGGCUGAAGUAGGUCCCAAGGGUAUGGCUGUUCGCCAUUUAAAGUGGUACGCGAGCUGGGUUUAGAACGUCGUGAGACAGUUCGGUCCCUAUCUGCCGUGGGCGCUGGAGAAUUGAGGGGGGCUGCUCCUAGUACGAGAGGACCGGAGUGGACGCAUCACUGGUGUUCGGGUUGUCAUGCCAAUGGCACUGCCCGGUAGCUAAAUGCGGAAGAGAUAAGUGCUGAAAGCAUCUAAGCACGAAACUUGCCCCGAGAUGAGUUCUCCCUGAGACUUUAAGUCUCCUGAAGGAACGUUGAAGACGACGACGUUGAUAGGCCGGGUGUGUAAGCGCAGCGAUGCGUUGAGCUAACCGGUACUAAUGAACCGUGAGGCUUAACCUU